rnacentral:rRNA from 1 species
UACAGAGGUCCCGAGCGUUGUUCGGAUUUAUUGGGCGUAAAGGGUGCGUAGGCGGCGGAGUAAGUUGGGCGUGAAAUCCCGGGGCUCAACCUCGGAAUGGCAUUCAAUACUGCUUCGCUCGAGUACUGGAGAGGAGGCUGGAAUUUACGGUGUAGCAGUGAAAUGCGUAGAUAUCGUAAGGAAGGCCGGUGGCGAAAGCGAGCCUCUGGACAGUUACUGACGCUGAUGCACGAAGGCCAGGGGAGCAAACGGG